AGUCCCGUGGUCACAUUGAAUUGCAAAUUCAAAGGAGCAGCUUCAAUUCUGCCGGGGCUU
rnacentral:tRNA from 1 species